UUAAACAAGUUUGAGCAAUAAAGAACUAAGUCUUACAUGUUAGCUUUGUAGAAUGCUUGUCCACCGUUUUUGAAACUAACGAUAUUGUUAUACAGUUUACAACAUUAAUAACAAUAUCAAAUUGAUUAAACAGUUUCACAUUGACAAUAAGAAAUGGAUAAUUUGCAUUUCAAGACUAGAAACAAUUAAAAUAUUACUCUAAAUCUUUGGAUGUAGAUUAACUACCAAUAUUUAUUAUGACUCUACUAUGAAGCAAUAUUGCACCAGUUGAAAAUAGGAACUAUCAAGUUGAAUUUACAGUUUUG
rnacentral:lncRNA from 1 species